rnacentral:rRNA from 1 species
UGGGGAAUAUUGCACAAUGGGCGCAAGCCUGAUGCAGCCAUGCCGCGUGUGUGAAGAAGGCCUUCGGGUUGUAAAGCACUUUCAGCGAGGAGGAAGGUGGUGAGCUUAAUACGCUCAUCAAUUGACGUUACUCGCAGAAGAAGCACCGGCUAACUCCGUGCCAGCAGCCGCGGUAAUACGGAGGGUGCAAGCGUUAAUCGGAAUUACUGGGCGUAAAGCGCACGCAGGCGGUUUGUUAAGUCAGAUGUGAAAUCCCCGGGCUCAACCUGGGAACUGCAUUUGAAACUGGCAAGCUAGAGUCUCGUAGAGGGGGGUAGAAUUCCAGGUGUAGCGGUGAAAUGCGUAGAGAUCUGGAGGAAUACCGGUGGCGAAGGCGGCCCCCUGGACGAAGACUGACGCUCAGGUGCGAAAGCGUGGGGAGCAAAACAGGAUUAGAUACCCUGGUAGUCCACGCUGUAAACGAUGUCGAUUUUGGAGGUUGUGCCC